ensembl:lncRNA COL5A1-AS1 COL5A1 antisense RNA 1
UCUCUUCUCUCCAGCGCUUCUCCCCUGGCAGGUGCCCUCCCCACCCCACGACCACCAUUAAUGCUGAAAUCCAAGACCCUGGGCUCGAGGACGCAGAACGACUCGUGGUUUGCAAAGUGUGGCACCCCCAGACGCUCCAGCAUCCGCGUGGUCUGGGAACUGACUUCGUUAGAAAUGCAGUUUCCUGGGCCCACCCAAGGCCUCCUGAGUCAGAAACAAUCUGUGCCUUAAGAGAGGCCUCGGGGGGAUUCUGGGGCCUGGUAAAGUUUGGGAACUGCUGGUCUACACCAUGAGGAGAAACGCUGGACCCGGCCUAAGAAGAGGCCCUCCCUCCUGUCUGACAAUGAGCCAUGAGAAGACCAUGGGAAAAAAAAGAGGCCACCAGAAACCCUAUUGCCGAGGUCCUGGCAAGGAAGAAAAGGACAGAAGAGCUAAUUUCCCUACAAGAACACGGGUCUAGGAAACAGAAAAUAAAGGAAGCUUCCAUUUCAUGGGCAGAGACAUCUCGGCAAAUAGGCUGAGCCCAUGUCCCCAGAGCUCUGAGUAAUUAAAUUUUGAGAAAAGUG